rnacentral:rRNA from 1 species
AGUGAACGCUGGCGGUAGGCCUAACACAUGCAAGUCGAACGGCAGCACAGGAGAGCUUGCUCUCUGGGUGGCGAGUGGCGGACGGGUGAGGAAUACAUCGGAAUCUACUCUGUCGUGGGGGAUAACGUAGGGAAACUUACGCUAAUACCGCAUACGACCUACGGGUGAAAGCAGGGGAUCUUCGGACCUUGCGCGAUUGAAUGAGCCGAUGUCGGAUUAGCUAGUUGGCGGGGUAAAGGCCCACCAAGGCGACGAUCCGUAGCUGGUCUGAGGGGAUGAUCCGCCACACUGGAACUGAGACACGGUCCAGACUCCUACGGGAGGCAGCAGUGGGGAAUAUUGGACAAUGGGCGCAAGCCUGAUCCGGCCAUACCGCGUGGGUGAAGAAGGCCUUCGGGUUGUAAAGCCCUUUUGUUGGGAAAGAAAUCCAGCUGGCUAAUACCCGGUUGGGAUGACGGUACCCAAAGAAUAAGCACCGGCUAACUUCGUGCCAGCCGCCGCCGUAA